rnacentral:rRNA from 1 species
GAUGAACGCUGGCGGCGUGCCUAAUACAUGCAAGUCGAGCGAAGCGGGGACGGGGGAGUAACACGUGGAUAACCUCCUAUAAGACUGGGAUAACUUCGUGAAACCGGAGCUAAUCCGGAUACUUAUAUAUGGAUCCUCGCUGCAUUAGCUAGUUGGUAAGGUAACGGCUUACCAAGGCAACGCUGCAUAGCCGAACUGAGAGGGUGAUCGGCCAUCCUUGAACUGCGACCCGGUCCCGACUCCUCCGGGAGGCAGCAGUAGGGAAUCUUCCGCAAUGGGCGAACGCCUGACGGAGCAACGCCGCGUGAGUGAUGAAGGUCUUCGGAUCGUAAAACUCUGUUAUUAGGGAAGCGGAACCUAAAGAGAAAGCCACGGCUAACUACGUGCCAGCAGCCGCGGUAAGUG